rnacentral:rRNA from 1 species
UUUAAUGGAGAGUUUGAUCCUGGCUCAGAGUGAACGCUGGCGGCGUGCUUAACACAUGCAAGUCGAACGAGAACGGUACUAGCUUGCUAGUAUGUCAGCUAAGUGGCGGACGGGUGAGUAAUGUAUAGUUAAUCUGCCCUUUAGAGGGGGAUAACAGUUAGAAAUGACUGCUAAUACCCCAUAC